rnacentral:rRNA from 1 species
AGAGUUUGAUCAUGGCUCAGAUUGAACGCUGGCGGAAUGCUUUACACAUGCAAGUCGAACGGCAGCACGGGAGCUUGCUCCUGGUGGCGAGUGGCGGACGGGUGAGUAAUAUAUCGGAACGUAUCUAUUAAUGGGGGAUAACUAGCCGAAAGGUUAGCUAAUACCGCAUACGCCCUGAGGGGGAAAGCUGGGGAUCUUCGGACCUGGCGUUAAUAGGGCGGCCGAUACCUGAUUAGCUAGUUGGUGGGGUAAAGGCCUACCAAGGCGACGAUCAGUAGCUGGUCUGAGAGGACGACCAGCCACACUGGGACUGAGACACGGCCCAGACUCCUACGGGAGGCAGCAGUGGGGAAUUUUGGACAAUGGGGGCAACCCUGAUCCAGCCAUUCCGCGUGAGUGAAGAAGGCCUUCGGGUUGUAAAGCUCUUUCGCAAGGGAAGAAACGAUGUAAGUGAAUAGCUUAUGUUAAUGACGGUACCUUGAUAAGAAGCACCGGCUAACUACGUGCCAGCAGCCGCGGUAAUACGUAGGGUGCAAGCGUUAAUCGGAAUUACUGGGCGUAAAGCGUGCGCAGGCGGCUUUGUAAGUCAGAUGUGAAAUCCCCGAGCUCAACUUGGGAACUGCGUUUGAAACUACAAGACUAGAAUAUGUCAGAGGGGGGCAGAAUUCCACGUGUAGCAGUGAAAUGCGUAGAGAUGUGG